UGUUGGCCAAGAUGGUCUCGAUCUCCUGACCUCGUGAUACGCCCGCCUCGGCCUCCCAAAGUGCUGGGAUUGCAGGCGUGAGCCACUGCGCCCGGCGGAAUUGCAAAAAGCCUUGCAGCAGCUACAAGAAGAAUUGCAGAAUGAGAGCCAACAGCUUCGUGCCCAGGAGGCUGAAAAAUACAAUGAGAUUCGAACCCAGGAACAAAACGUCCAGCACCUAAACCAUAGUCUGAGUCACAAUGAGCAGUUGCUUCAGGAAUUUCGGGAGCUCCUACAGUAUGGAGAUAACUCAGACAAACCCCUUGAAGCAAAUGAAAUGUUGCUUGAGAAACUUUGCCAGCGAAUACAUGAUAAAGCUGUUGCUUUGGAGAGCACUCCCAGGAAACAGAAAGCCUGAGGGAGGCUCUGCUGUCCUCUCGAUCCCACUUUCAAGAGCUGGAAGAGGAGCUGGAGCACCAGAAGGUGGAAAGGCAGCAGCUUUUGGAAGACUUGAGGGAG